rnacentral:rRNA from 1 species
UACGGAGGGUGCGAGCGUUGUCCGGAAUCACUGGGCGUAAAGGGCGCGUAGGUGGCACGGGUAGUCGUCGGUGAAAGCUCAGGGCUCAACCCUGAGUCGGCCGGUGAUACUCCCGAGCUCGAGUGUGGUAGAGGCCAAUGGAAUUCCGGGUGUAGCGGUGGAAUGCGUAGAGAUCGGAAAGAACACCAACGGCGAAAGCGCGCUGCUGGGCCGACACUGACACUGAGAGACGAAAGCUAGGGGAGCGAAUGGG